rnacentral:rRNA from 1 species
GGAAUCUUCCGCAAUGGACGAAAGUCUGACGGAGCAACGCCGCGUGAGUGAAGAAGGUUUUCGGAUCGUAAAACUCUGUUGUGAGGGAAGAACAAGUACCAACUAACUACUGGUACCUUGACGGUACCUCACCAGAAAGCCACGGCUAACUACGUGCCAGCAGCCGCGGUAAUACGGAGGUGGCAAGCGUUGUCCGGAAUUAUUGGGCGUAAAGCGCGCGCAGGCGGUCCUUUAAGUCUGAUGUGAAAGCCCACGGCUCAACCGUGGAGGGUCAUUGGAAACUGGGGGACUUGAGUGCAGAAGAGGAAAGUGGAAUUCCACGUGUAGCGGUGAAAUGCGUAGAGAUGUGGAGGAACACCAGUGGCGAAGGCGACUUUCUGGUCUGUAACUGACGCUGAGGCGCGAAAGCGUGGGGAGCAAACAGG